rnacentral:rRNA from 1 species
CUGGAGUACUCGAGUGGCGAACGGGUGAGUAACACGUGGGUAAUCUGCCCUGCACUCUGGGAUAAGCCUGGGAAACUGGGUCUAAUACCGGAUAGGACCAUGCUUUAGUGUGUGUGGUGGAAAGUUUUUUCGGUGUAGGAUGAGCCCGCGGCCUAUCAGCUUGUUGGUGGGGUAAUGGCCUACCAAGGCGGCGACGGGUAGCCGGACUGAGAGGUUGGUCGGCCACAUUGGGACUGAGAUACGGCCCAG